AGUACAAAGGUCCCUGGACAGGUUUGAGGGGCCUCUCUGCCAGUUUCCCCUCUAGCGCCUGGGGGCGCCCUCUAGCCCAACACCCGCCUCUUAGCUCUGCUUUUCCUAAAACCCAGCUCUGGCCCUCGCUGGACUCUGGCCUUCCCUUUUCCCUCCCUUCCCCCACCGCAUUACUUCAGUUCUUAAAAAGACUCGAAGGCCGGAGGAUUCCGUCCGCCCCCAGCUCUCCAGGGAACCCGGGACCAGUUCCUUCCUGGCUUACGCAGCCCAACAAAGCAGGCCUGAGCCCACAGACCCCUUUUACGAUUGGGGGCAGGGGUGGCGAGAGGGUGGGAACAUCAAAGGGGAACUAAAGACUGGGUCUUUAGUCGGCGUGAAGGGGAGGAUUCACUCCCAGAGGUCGAAGAAUAGAGAGGAGAGAAUUCUCCCCCAAGCUCCCACCCCUCUGGGGCCUUCCUGGCCAGACUCUGUCCAUCCUCCUCCUAGCUCCGCCUCUGCCAGCCACUUUGGGGGAGGAGGGUGGGAUUCGCCACCUUUACUAAAGGCUAAGAAGCUGAGGAAGUCCUUCCAUGUGUCUAACCCCAGUUCGCUCUGUUGCAAGUUAAGCCGAAACCGAAAGACUAGAAACCAGCCUGCCCUAGUCAGGGGCAGUUAGGGCACAACCAGUCUCUCCACAAGAUGGGGGGGUGAGGUGGGACGUUCAUUUCUUCUGACCCUUUGCCCUGGCCUGAGCCAACCUCCACUUUGGUGAGUUUCCUGCUACUGGGAAAAUUCUCCUUCACUGUAACUACAAUGACUCAACAUUGCAGUUCAUUUCUGCCUCUCGGGGUCUCUUUCUCUGGAGAAACCAGAAGCACAGAGAGCCCCAGCAUAGACCAUUCUGUUUGCAGAGUCCUGCCAGAUUCUGUUCCCAAAAGGUGUGGGAGGAGGGAAAGGAAACCCAACCCAGAUCCAGCAACUCUGUGCCCUGGCUCAGCAGGGCCAGGCUGCAGGUUUCAAGCUCAACUCAGCACUCUUGCAGAAUCCUUAUAUAGCAAAGGCCAGGAAAAAAAAAAAAGGAGAGGAAAUAAACCAUGCCCAGUCCAGGCUGGGUGGAAAUUAGAAAGCAGAAAGAACUUUCCCAGGACUAAGGCUGGCUCCUCCAGCUUGCACCUGCAGGGAAUACCUAUGGUAACUCCCCAAAACCAGCAGUCCAGAAGCUUCUGGCCCCAGAACUCCAGACUCACCUACCCCCCCUGGGCAGCCAAGGCUAAGGAAUGUGCUAAAUUUAAAAACAGACAGCCAGCGGGCAGAAAAGCCUGGCCUCCAGGCUCCGCCCACUAGGGGCCCAGAGACUAGGGCUGGGCUGAGACCUCAGCCUUUCUCCCAGGCCUGGGGUGGGAGGGUGCUGCAAGCUAAGAUAGAAUCUUAAAGGGCCAAACUCCAGCCUGGGUACCAGUAAACCUAGGGCAUGAACGCAGGAUUUGUCGAGGGACCUCAGUCCCCAAACUCAGGAGGUCUCUUAUGAAAGAAGAGGACUGCCCCUCCAACCCUCUUCUGUCUCCCACCUCAACCUUCAGUCCACUUUCCAUCCCACUUGCUGUUACCCUACCCCUCACCCUCUACCCUCUUCUUCCUCUUAGAUGAAUAACAAGGAAGGGGACUAGGGGUGGGGUAGAGAAGUAGAAAGGUAGACAAAACUGUUCUACCUUUAAAAACACCUGUGUUUAGGGAGCUUGGCCUGCAGCUUGACUCAGUUUCCAUUUUCUGUAUCCUCUCAAACAGUGAACACUUUUCCUUUCUCCUUGGCAUCUCCCACUCCUUUUUCCAAACCCCUCCUUCAUUCCAACCCCCCUCUCGACUUUUAUCCAGUGAUAUCUUCCAGAUUUUCAGAAAUUAUUUUUUUAGAUACACAAAAACAAAAAUUCCUGCCAGAAUCUAAAAGUAGGCACCACCUUCUUUAGCCCAUUUAACUUGAUAAAAUGUGUCCUUCCCAUUUCAGGAGCAGGGAGGAGGUCCCAGGGAAGAACCUGGUUGUCAGAGUCUUGGCCAGUUGAUAAAGGAAUGAAGCUCCGGGCAAUAUCUAAGCCUAAGCUCUACACUGUCCAGGAGAUCUCUGCUCCCGCAUGAGAGAGAAGAAUCCUCAGUGCCCCACCUGCCCUCCCCUGCCAGCUUUUAGAUUCCCUAACUGCUCCCCUUCUGAGAAUUGCCUCCUCUCAUGCCGCCAUAGCCUCAACUCCAACAACACAACCUGCUUUCAUCUGGACCUUCCCAGCCCACCCUGAGAAAAGGGAAUCCUGGCUGAAAGGCUGGCAGAGGGGAGAGCCCUAAUGCUGUGGGUGGAGCCAGGCAGAGCCCAAGUAACUUUACUGGGUGAGAAUCCCAUGGCUCCUCAAGUCAUGCCCAAGAGGAAGCUGAAGGUCCGUCGCAGGGAGGAGCCUGCCCAGGUACCUGAAUGCCCUUCCAGCUGGCUACAGCUGUAGAGAGAAAAAGAAGUGGUGAGGAGAUGGAAAAAGAACAGGAAAAGAAGAAAAAGAUACUCUCCAAGAGAUGGUGGAUGAAGUUGGCAUGGCCAGCAGGGCAAGAAUGGAGAUAUGAAAGGAAAGAUGCUGAGAGAAAGAGUGAGGAAGAGAGGAAGGACAGGGAGAGAAAGAAAAGCCUCACCUUGACCUCCUAGGACUUCCUGGAUGUGGACACUUCAGUUUCCCAGGCCCCUCUAUUUAGGAGGAAAACUGCAGACUCCUCCUUCCUACCUAAUCCAGGCUCAGGAUGGGAGGGCCCAAUCUCCUCUCAUGCUGCUCCCCAACGGAAGUGGUAUGGGGUGGGGGCUCUCUAGGGGGGCAUUUUCUUCUCUCAGAAAGAACAAGAGCCCUGUGUAGACCCUCUCGGCUGUUUGGAAAGGGCCUCUGGGCCUAAAGCCAAUAAAGACUGAAUUUCCUGGGAUUUCAUCAGCCCCAUCCCAUGAGCUAAUCCCAAACCCAGAGCCAGGAGGAUGUGUCAGCUAGAGAUUUUCAGGACCACAAAUCAGAGCCUGAUAUCUUAAAGGGGCCAUUACAUGCUCAUACACCCAAACUGUCAGAGGGCUGACCCACUCUAAUCUGCCCUCAGCCAUGGGAGCCAAAUAAACAGGUGCUGAUUUUGUAUGCUUAUUUA